rnacentral:rRNA from 1 species
GACGUAGGGGGCGAGCGUUGUCCGGAAUCAUUGGGCGUAAAGAGCGUGUAGGCGGCUUGUCGCGUCUGCUGUGAAAACCCGAGGCUCAACCUCGGGCCUGCAGUGGGUACGGGCAGACUAGAGUGGCGGUAGGGGAGAUUGGAAUUCCUGGUGUAGCGGUGGAAUGCGCAGAUAUCAGGAGGAACACCAAGUGGCGAAGGCAGAUCUCUGGGCCGUAACUGACGCUGGAGGAGCGAAAGCAUGGGGAGCGAACAGG